UUACAAUUGACAUCAUAUGGCAUUUGUCUUCUGACUGACUUUGCUCGGCAUGAUCAUCUCUAGAUCCACCCACGUGGCUGCAAAUGGCCUGAUUCCGUUCUUUUUCUGGCUGAGUAAUAUCCCACGCUUCUAACCCUUGUGACACCUGGACAUACUCUCACUAACUUCACAAGCCACAGGCUUGUUCAUUCAGCACGGAGAGGGUUCUGUAUCAAGAAUCUCCCUUUGACUUCCAGUUCAAGAUGAUGGAGUAGAAAGAUGUGUGCUUAUCUCCUUGAGAACACCAACGUUGCAACUAGCUACUGAUCAACCGUCGACAGGAGGACACUGGAACCCACCAAAAGAGGAACCUCACAUCCAAAGACAAAGCAGAAGUCCUAACAAGACACAGGCAAGAUCUUAGUUCCCCAACCAGGGAUUGAACUCCCGCCACCUGCACCAGAAGCUUGGGGUCUCAACCACUGGACCGCCGUGAAAGUCCCUCAGAUUUCUUUUUGAAUUGUAGUUCUCAGUGUUAUAAAGCCUCUUGAGACAGUCUGUCCUCAAGGGACCAAAACAAAUAAACAAAAACCAAAAUGAAAAAAAAAAAAAAAAAAGAGCCUGCUGCUGAGGAAAGGAACUGUGGACAGUGAUCAAGAAGAAAUUCCUCUGCUGAUUAGUUUUAUUUCUCUCGUGGCGUCUAAGUAUUAUGAACUAGGCUGGUAAUUCAAUCCUAGAAGGAGAUGGAAUAUUCAAGAAACAGUUUGUUGUCGCAAUCCCAUCAAACUUGGCUCUUCCAAGUGGCAGUGAGAAGCUCCAUCGUGGGUCCGAUUCCUGGAAAGAGAAGAGAAAGGUGCAGAACGGACAGAAAAUAAACUUUACUGAGUCCUAUUGUACGUCGGGUGGCAAGCCAGGCCCUUUACAAAGUGGAAUCAAUGAUCUGAUUUGAAAAGCAGAAAUAGAGACUUAGA
ensembl:lncRNA